AGUUUGAAUUGGGCAGAAUUAGAGGUGUACAUUUGGCAGGGGAGUUAUCCACCCCUCGCUCUGCCCUCCUCCCUCGGUCUGCCCGGUGGUCGGGGCGCCCAGCCUGCCUCUCGCCAGGUCGUGUCGAUUCAUCGAUAUCUCGCAAUGUAUUAGAGAGAGGGGAACCGAAAAUAACCGUGGCAGAGGGAACCGGUCCGGCGGCGGCGCGCGGCUUAUCCGCUCCCGGCGCCCGGGUGGAAAUAUUAUUAUAACGACGACUGGCUUGCUCGCUUUAACCGACUUUUCUUUUCCCGUGCUUAUCUCAGGUGGCGAUGGGGACGGGACCUGCUGCAGCUACCGUGCGCGUCGCGCCGCUCACCGCCCACCGCCUCCGCUCUCGCUGUCGAGACUGUCAGAUUAUGUUCACGUGAGAAGACACAACAUGCGCAUGCGCUUGUGAGCAGCGCUCGGCCGCUCGCGUCGUCUGCUGCUCGGCUGUCUGCGCUCGGGGCGUGAGAAGACCAUUGUGGUGGGCGCCCUGCACGGGAGGAGGAGGAGGACCACGACGUGGAGCUAGGACGAGGAUGGAGAGGAGAAGUGCACGACGACAUGGCACCGCCACCGGCGAACACCAGGCUGCUGCUGUGCGGUGCCGCCGUCAUGACCUCCGCGGCGGAGGAGGAGGUGGACGCCCGGAGACUUCCGCUCUGAUGCGAGCCCUGCCACGGCCCGGCAGACCUGCCCCGCAGUUGCACCCCAAAAUAUUCGGACGCGUCGACCAACAACAUUCCUCUGGCGUUAAUCGCAGAAGCCGUUGGGCAGCUGCGCGGUGCCUUUGGCGAUAAAACGCUGCGAACGCGACGCUGGAGCCGAUACGGGCGGCUGCGCGAACAAGACGCAGCCAACUCCUCCCCGCCUCCCUAACCCUCCGGCCGUCAGAAAAGCUGCUGUCGAGUAUUGUUUCCUCGGCGGAGCUCGGCACGCACAUCGGAAGUAAGUAUCGGUGGGAAUUGUGCGGAACCAUACGCGCCACUAGAGCGCUCCCGCCCCACCUCGCUAUGCCCUGCCACGCCACGCCACGCCACGCUCCGUCUCGAUAUGUCGCCGGCCAUCACCGGAGCGACAACUGGACCGAAGUGAACUGAACUGCGCGCAGGGCUCUCGUCGACCGGUUUGCUUCUCCGAGAAAGCAGACACACCGCGCCCCGCCCGCUGCAGACAUUCCGCACAGCAUCGUAAAAACCGAUCCCGGGGCGUAUAGUGAGACGGGGGAGAGACACACACACACACACUCGAGCCGGCCGAUGGAUUUGAACUUCGCGCGCAACUGGAAAGAUGUAUACAGGGGAUGAUGUUUUUGUUGUUGUUUGCGAAAAGGAAAGCAAGAGCGAAAUGCUCCAGUUGGAUGUGUGCCCAAGGGGCGCAUGGGUAAACGCGGGCAGCAGCAGGGCCGCCGUGGCCCGACCAAGGGCGAGGGCUCUUUCUUUCUCUCUCUCUCUCUCUCUCUCUCUCUCUCUCUCUCUCUCUCUCUCUCUCUCUCUCUCUCUCGCAUUCUCUUCCCGGCACUCUGACCGCGUACCUCCGCGAAUGAGCAUGCCGCCGAUGUAUAUGCAUGUAGCGGAGGUGCGAGGCAGGUCCCCCCCGGGCCGGGCUGGAAAUGGUGGGGGCGACUUGUGUGCUAAAGGUCCAUCCCAUAAAUCCUUCGGGAGUGUCCGGCACCGGACGCCGUCGGGCCCCGCUGUGACCUGGAGGGAGCAGAAGGGAGUGCGAGGAGCAGGACACAA